CUACUUGAUGAUGAUUAUUGCAUUCAGUUAUCCCUGUCUUACUCAAUGAAUGAUGAUACUUAUUCAACUGAAGAGUAG